AGAACGAACGCUGGCGGCAUGCCUAACACAUGCAAGUCGAACGAGACCUUCGGGUUUAGUGGCGCACGGGUGCGUAACGCGUGGGAAUCUGCCCUUGGGUUCGGAAUAACAGUUGGAAACGGCUGCUAAUACCGGAUGAUGACGUAAGUCCAAAGAUUUAUCGCCCAGGGAUGAGCCCGCGUAGGAUUAGCUAGUUGGUGAGGUAAAGGCUCACCAAGGCGACGAUCCUUAGCUGGUCUGAGAGGAUGAUCAGCCACACUGGGACUGAGACACGGCCCAGACUCCUACGGGAGGCAGCAGUGGGAAUAUGGACAAUGGGCGCAAGCCUGAUCCAGCAAUGCCGCGUGUGUAGAAGAAGGCCUUGGGUUGUAAAGCACGUUUAAGUUGGGAAGAAAAACUCGACUCUAACACAGUGAGUCUUGACGUACCGACAGAAUAAGCACCGCUAACUCUGUGCCAGCAGCCGC
rnacentral:rRNA from 1 species